rnacentral:rRNA from 1 species
UACGUAGGGUGCAAGCGUUGUCCGGAAUUAUUGGGCGUAAAGGGCCCGUAGGCGGCCUGCCGCGUCGGCUGUGAAAUCCCGGGGCUCAACUCCGGAACUGCAGUCGAUACGGGCAGGCUAGAGUUCGGCAGGGGAGACUGGAAUCCUGGUGUAGCGGUGAAAUGCGCAGAUAUCAGGAGGAACACCGGUGGCGAAGGCGGGUCUCUGGGCCGAUGACUGACGUGAGGUGCGAAAGCGUGGGGAGCAAACAGG